GAAAAUCAGAUACAUACAGGUGCCCUGCCAUCUCACAAAAGAAACGGCAGGGAUAAUAGGGAAACAGGUGCAAGUCCUGUACGGUCCCGCCGCUGUAAGGAGGGAACAGUCUUUAUGGUCCACUGUGUCCGGGUCAUUCACACUCAGGGAUAUGGGAAGGCAAAGGCUGUGCGGAUCUCCAAGUCAGAAGACCUGCCUGCUUGUAGGGAACUGC
rnacentral:ncRNA from 2 species